rnacentral:misc_RNA from 1 species
CGCAGCUAACGCGUGAAGUUGACCGCCUGGGGAGUACGGUCGCAAGAUUAAAACUCAAAGGAAUUGACGGGGACCCGCACAAGCGGUGGAUGAUGUGGAUUAAUUCGAUGCAACGCGAAAAACCUUACCUACCCUUGACAUGUCUGGAAUCCCGAAGAGAUUUGGGAGUGCUCGCAAGAGAACCGGAACACAGGUGCUGCAUGGCUGUCGUCAGCUCGUGUCGUGAGAUGUUGGGUUAAGUCCCGCAACGAGCGCAACCCUUGUCAUUAGUUGCUACGAAAGGGCACUCUAAUGAGACUGCUGGUGACAAACCGGAGGAAGGUGGGGAUGACGUCAAGUCCUCAUGGCCCUUAUGGGUAGGGCUUCACACGUCAUACAAUGGUCGGGACAGAGGGUCGCCAACCCGCGAGGGGGAGCCAAUCCCAGAAACCCGAUCGUAGUCCGGAUCGCAGUCUGCAACUCGACUGCGUGAAGUCGGAAUCGCUAGUAAUCGCGGAUCAGCAUGUCGCGGUGAAUACGUUCCCGGGUCUUGUACACACCGCCCGUCACACCAUGGGAGUGGGUUUUACCCAGAAGUAGUUAGCCUAACCGUAAGUGGAGGGCGAUUACCACGGUAGGAUCUUAUGACUGGGGUGAAGUCGUAACAAGGUAG